UCAUUAUAAAUAUAUGCAUCUCUUAUUUACAAAACCAAAAUGUACACUGAACAGGUAACAAAAAAUCUCUCAUUUAUCGACUUGAAUAAUAUUUAUAAACCCCCUCUGAUAGCUGGUGUUAUAUAUAUAAUAAUUUGUACAGCAUUCAAUUGUUUAUUUCUAGGCCAAGAAGCCUAAACAAAUUGACAGGCAAAUAUUUAUUUAAUAAUAUUUUCUUAUUUUCUGCUUGUUAAAAGUAUCAGUUAAUAAUAAGUUUCAAAUUUACAUCUAUAAGUAUAAAGAGGUUUGAAACCAGGAAGAAUCAGCUAGAGAAAGUCAACUCUUAAAAAAAACCUAAAGAAGACAACUCUUGAGACAUAAAAAGGAAGGGUAUUGCACUUGUGCAAAAUAAAAAAAAGAUCCCUACAAACAUCUUAUAGCUGACAUUAAAGCUUUAUGUUACAGAUUCAAAAGUAUUUAGUUUUAACUUCUUAAAAUAACUUUUUCAUUGCUAUGAUGAUUGGGUAAAAAAAUAUGAAAGUAAACAAAAAACUGCCAAAAUGCAAGUUAUUUCCAUUUGAAUUUUGAGGCUUGUUUAAUUUUCUGUCUAGCAUGCCAUGUAAUAGAGGUAAUACUGCUUGUCAUUGCUGCCCUGGCUUUUGAUUUGGGAUGGUGGCUAUUGGCAUCACAAAAAUCUGUAAAACAAUAAAAGUUAUAACCUUUAAAUUUUUAUGUGAUGCCAAAUAUUUAAAUGGAAUCAGCUUUAGACAGUAUGUUUUGUAAUUUUGGUGGUAGAGAAAUACUGUACAUGCAUGUAUACCAGAAUACAAAAAAAAUACAAUAAAAUAAAAUCUGUUAAUUAAUGUUAAUGAUACAACUUCCAAUCCAAAAUAGAAAUACAUAAAAAAUGAUUAUCAAGUAAUAAACCAUUUCAAAUGGACAACAAAGGAUAUGUCUCUACAUAAUUUAAUAACGGGCAUUUAAUUGUCCAAAAGUCUGAGGUAAGUCAUAAAUACAAAUGAAUUAAAAUAAAACACUACUGGCAGCAACAUCUGUCGCUAUGUCAGUUUCCUGACCAUGGACUGACACAUGAUCAUGAGGCAAGGUUGAACUAGUUUUGUGUUCUAUACUCUUUUUACUGUCUCAAACAAACUGUGCAGUAAAAAAAAAGAGAAUACAUCUUUUUUUUUGGAAAAUGAUUUUCUUUAACAAUAUGUAUCAGUAUUACAGAAGAAAAACACAUCUUCCUUACUUAUCACACAAGUAAACAAUGGAAGUGUAAAUGCUAACUUGGGGAAAAAAUUCAAUGUAAAGAGGUAUCAGUUCAUAAAAAACAAAAGUGUCUUCAGACAGCAAAGUAGGCAAUAUAUUAGAACCAUCAUAUAACUUGUAUUUAUUGGUACCCGAGUCCAUAAAAAUCUUACAAAGAAUUUCAAUGUUAUUUAUACAUGUAUAAGAUUUAGUACAAACAUAUUUUUCAGUUGAAAUUCAAAG
rnacentral:lncRNA from 1 species